rnacentral:rRNA from 1 species
GACGAACGCUGGCGGCGUGCAUAACACAUGCAAGUCGAACGGAAAGGCCCUGCUUUUGUGGGGUGCUCGAGUGGCGAACGGGUGAGUAACACGUGAGUAACCUGCCCUUGACUUUGGGAUAACUUCAGGAAACUGGGGCUAAUACCGGAUAGGAGCUCCUGCUGCAUGGUGGGGGUUGGAAAGUUUCGGCGGUUGGGGAUGGACUCGCGGCUUAUCAGCUUGUUGGUGGGGUAGUGGCUUACCAAGGCUUUGACGGGUAGCCGGCCUGAGAGGGUGACCGGCCACAUUGGGACUGAGAUACGGCCCAGACUCCUACGGGAGGCAGCAGUGGGGAAUAUUGCACAAUGGGCGGAAGCCUGAUGCAGCAACGCCGCGUGCGGGAUGACGGCCUUCGGGUUGUAAACCGCUUUCGCCUGUGACGAAGCGUGAGUGACGGUAAUGGGUAAAGAAGCACCGGCUAACUACGUGCCAGCAGCCGCGGUGAUACGUAGGGUGCGAGCGUUGUCCGGAUUUAUUGGGCGUAAAGGGCUCGUAGGUGGUUGAUCGCGUCGGAAGUGUAAUCUUGGGGCUUAACCCUGAGCGUGCUUUCGAUACGGGUUGACUUGAGGAAGGUAGGGGAGAAUGGAAUUCCUGGUGGAGCGGUGGAAUGCGCAGAUAUCAGGAGGAACACCAGUGGCGAAGGCGGUUCUCUGGGCCUUUCCUGACGCUGAGGAGCGAAAGCGUGGGGAGCGAACAGGCUUAGAUACCCUGGUAGUCCACGCUGUAAACGGUGGGUACUAGGUGUGGGGUCCAUUCCACGGGUUCCGUGCCGUAGCUAACGCUUUAAGUACCCCGCCUGGGGAGUACGGCCGCAAGGCUAAAACUCAAAGGAAUUGACGGGGCCCCGCACAAGCGGCGGAGCAUGCGGAUUAAUUCGAUGCAACGCGUAGAACCUUACCUGGGUUUGACAUGGAUCGGGAGUGCUCAGAGAUGGGUGUGCCUCUUUUGGGGUCGGUUCACAGGUGGUGCAUGCCUGUCGUCAGCUCGUGUCGUGAGAUGUUGGGUUAAGUCCCGCAACGAGCGCAACCCUUGUUCACUGUUGCCAGCACGUUAUGGUGGGGACUCAGUGGAGACCGCCGGGGUCAACUCGGAGGAAGGUGGGGAUGACGUCAAGUCAUCAUGCCCCUUAUGUCCAGGGCUUCACGCAUGCUACAAUGGCUGGUACAGAGAGUGGCGAGCCUGUGAGGGUGAGCGAAUCUCGGAAAGCCGGUCUCAGUUCGGAUUGGGGUCUGCAACUCGACCUCAUGAAGUCUGAGUCGCUAGUAAUCGCAGAUCAGCAACGCUGCGGUGAAUACGUUCCCGGGGCU